AAGCAACACUCUGGGGCAGUUGCAAAACCAUCUGUCCCAAUUUAUGCUUGCUAGAGAAAUUAAAGUCUCUACUAUUCCAGUAUUCUCUGUCUUGUGAGUUCUACUGUUAUAAUGACUUGGACACU